UACGUUCCCGGGUCUUGUACACACCGCCCGUCAAGUCACCUGAAUUGUCUUCACCCGAAGUCUGUGGCCUAACCGCAAGGAAGGAGCGGCCGAAGGUGAGGGGGGUAAGGGGGACU
rnacentral:rRNA from 1 species